rnacentral:rRNA from 1 species
CGCGUGGAUAUCUGCCUAUUAGUGGGGGACAACUACAGGAAACUGUAGCUAAUACCGCAUAAUCUCUACGGAGGAAAGCAGGGGACCUUUCGGGGCCUUGUGCUGAUAGAUGAGUCCGCGUCUGAUUAGCUAGUUGGUGGGGUAAAGGCCUACCAAGGCGAUGAUCAGUAUCUGGUUUGAGAGGAUGAUCAGACACACUGGAACUGAGACACGGUCCAGACUUCUACGGAAGGCAGCAGUGGGGAAUAUUGCACAAUGGGGGAAACCCUGAUGCAGCGACGCCGCGUGCGGGAAGAAGGCCUUAGGGUUGUAAACCGCUUUCAAUUGGGAAGAAGAGAUGGGGUCUAAUAUGCCUCUGAUCUGACGGU